CCUACGGGAGGCAGCAGUAGGGAAUCUUCCGCAAUGGACGAAAGUCUGACGGAGCAACGCCGCGUGAACGAUGAAGGUCUUCGGAUCGUAAAGUUCUGUUGUUAGGGAAGAACAAGUGCCGAGCGAAUAGAGCGGCACCUUGACGGUACCUAACGAGGAAGCCCCGGCUAACUACGUGCCAGCAGCCGCGGUAAUACGUAGGGGGCAAGCGUUGUCCGGAAUUAUUGGGCGUAAAGCGCGCGCAGGCGGUUCCUUAGGUCUGAUGUGAAAGCCCACGGCUCAACCGUGGAGGGUCAUUGGAAACUGGGGAACUUGAGGACAGAAGAGGAGAGUGGAAUUCCACGUGUAGCGGUGAAAUGCGUAGAUAUGUGGAGGAACACCAGUGGCGAAGGCGACUCUCUGGUCUGUUUCUGACGCUGAGGUGCGAAAGCGUGGGUAGCAAACAGGAUUAGAUACCCUGGUAGUCCACGCCGUAAACGAUGAGUGCUAGGUGUUAGGGGGCUUCCACCCCUUAGUGCUGAAGUUAACGCAUUAAGCACUCCGCCUGGGGAGUACGGCCGCAAGGCUGAAACUCAAAGGAAUUGACGGGGGCCCGCACAAGCGGUGGAGCAUGUGGUUUAAUUCGAAGCAACGCGAAGAACCUUAC
rnacentral:rRNA from 1 species